rnacentral:lncRNA from 1 species
UCUUGCAUCUUUGAACCUGUAAAUAAAAGAAAAUAUAUGUAUAUUAGAUUUAUUGAUAUAUAACUCAUAAUAUUGAAUAAAAGAAAUGAUCAAACCUUGGAUUGUAUGACAAUCAUCAUCUAAACUUGAAGAUGAUGUUGCACCUUCAUUGUUGGGAGAAUCUCUACAUAAAAGCCAAAAUAACACUCAUCAUUUAAAGAUUGAGAUAUCUAAAAAAAUUUACUAUUACUUAAAUAUUACUUACCGAUGUGCAACUAUUGGACAAUUCCUUUUGUCAUGUGAUUCUCCAACUUUCCCACAACCAUGACAACGUCUACCUUUUGAGUUCUUUGCCUUUCAUAAUGACCUUUCUUUCCCUCCUUGAAGUCUUUUGCCACAUCCUUUUGCCCUCACUUGAUUUUGUUCAUUGUACAUAUGGUCUUUAUUGCAACUCAUCUUCCUAGAGACUACACUUGCACCAGUUCCACAUUGUGAACUUUUACCACUAUCUGUAACAAGAUUGAUUGAUUUGAGUGCACGAGCCAAAGCAUCUUUAUAAAUAUUAAUUCCUUCUUGGUUUGUGAGGGCGUUAUUAAUAACAUCCAAAGAACAUUGAAUUAAUUCACUCCGCUUGAUGACACUAUUUAUCAUUAUGCCACUUUCAUUAUCAACGACUAUCACGGAGUUUGACUUCUUAGUCCACCUUUUCAAGAUGUAUUGUUGGGGUAAUUCAUCAAAAUCAUGCAUUAUGAGCAAGUAACCAAGCACAUGUCUACAUGGUAUGCCCAUACUCUCAAACUUGUGGCAACUACAUGAAGUAAAAUCCAAUCCUUUGUCAUAAAUAAGUUGUCGCACUCUACGUGUUAACAUUUUUUCUAUGAACUUGAAACAUGCAUUGAUUUUCACUCUCCUUGAUAAGCUCAAAACGGUAAUUCAAGCAUUCCUAUAUCUCAUCUUAAAAUUUAUAAAACAUUUCUCGAGUAUAAAUUUCAACCAUUUGGAACACAAAGUCAUGAUUCAUCUUCACUUUAGGCUUCUCAAUCAAAUCUUUGUGAUCAGCCAACAACUCUUCUUGACGUUGGCGUACUCACCCUCUAUUAAAUUGGAUCAUGAAAUCAACUAAUGAAUUAUUCUUAGAAACAUAUCUUUUGAAAAAAGAGUGAGAGCUUUCCGCUCGUUGGCUACUUGACAUAUUGGCUGAGAAAACAUGAUUACAAUAAGUUGGCACCUAAUUUUUACGAAUGCCAUACAUUAUUUGUAACCAUUUCUUGUCAUGUAACCCUCUCCUCCCAACAAGCUCUGUCCAUGUCAAAUCAAACUCUUCUUUAUACUCUGAAAUCCAAAUACAAUCGGCAAAUUCAUUAUAGUGAGCAUUAUACUUCAUCGAGUCUAUAUUUUCUGAAAAUUUUGUCAACAUGUGCCAACUACAGAAUCUAUGAAAAGUAUCCAGAAGAGUUUCUAAUAUUUCUUUGGACAUCGCGAGAUCUUGAUCAGUAAUGAUCAUUUUAGGGGCAUCACUUGGCAUAGCCUCUAAAAAUUGGUUUAAUAGCCAAACAAAAGAAUCCGAGGUCUCGUCACUUAAGAAUGCACAAGCAAAAAUUAUGGUUUGACCAUGUUUGUUAACUCCCAUUAGUGGUGCAAAAAUCAUCCCAUAUCGAUUGGUGUUGUAUGUAGUAUCGAAGACGACUAUAUCACCAUAAAAACUAUAUGCCCUUCUAGAGGUAGCAGCAGCCCAAAAACAAUGUGUUAUCCUCUGUUCAUUAUCGACCUUAAUUUUAUAAGUGAAUGAUGGAUUCUUACCCUUUUAUAAUUUGCAAACCUCACUAAACAUUUCUUCGUUAUGCCCCUUCAACUCAUUAUGUAUAUCCCUUUCAUAAUUAUAUAAAUAUGUUUGUGUACAACCAAUGUUUUCAAACCCUCCAGCAUGUACUCCAAGGAAAUUGAGUUGUUGAUAUGAGGGUAUAUUUAUCAUGGAAAGUUGUUGAGUCAAACACUUUUGCACACUUGAAACACUUCGGUGAGAUCUUAAUAGAUAUUUCUUUGAUGGAGUUGCCAGACUACAUAAGCCUCAGAAUUUAUUUUCAACACAGCUACCAUUGCUUUACAACUCUCUUUUAUCGAUCCCUGAUGCCUUUUAGUUUCAACAUCCACAAUUGUUAUUCCCUUACCUUGUUUAAAACAGACAUACUCUUUCUUUUUGACUUCAUCACUUCCUUCAAAUUUCUUAGUAGCCCAACUUCGAAUACUAAAUCUCGUCUCUUUAGCAUAUGCAUUGUAAAAAUCCCUAACUUCAUCUAUUGUUUUGAAUUCUUUUCCAACACUAGGUUUGAAAUGGCCGGCUACUUGCGGAUUAUAAAUAAAUUUUCCCUACCUUCAUCACUCUCCCCUUCAAUUCUCUUAUUCUCUACUUCCUUUUCAUUAUU